rnacentral:rRNA from 1 species
AAGCUCGUAGUUGAAUUUCGGGCCUCGACUCGGGUAGCCUCACGGUUUUCACCCGGGCUCGGGGUCCUCCUCGUGGCAAACCAGGGUUCUCUUAACUGGGCGCUCUGGGGAACCACGACGUUUACUUUGAGAAAAUUAGAGUGUUCAAAGCAGGCGUUCGCUUGAAUACAUUAGCAUGGAAUAAUGGAAUAGGGCUCCGGUUCUAUUUUGUUGGUUUUCAGUUACCGAAGCAAUGAUUAAUAGGGAUAGUUGGG